GGGCGUAAAGGGUGCGUAGGUGGCUUGCCAAGUGCUUUGUGAAAUCCCACGGCUCAACCGUGGAACAGCAGGGCAUACUGGCAGGCUUGAGGCAAGUAGGGGCUGACGGAACAGUAGGUGGAGCGGUGAAAUGCGUAGAUAUCUACUGGAACGCCGAUGGUGAAGACGGUCAGCUGGGCUUGUCCUGACACUGAGGCACGAAAGCGUGGGGAGCAAACAGGAUUAGAUACCCUGGUAGUCCACGCCGUAAACGAUGCGCACUAGACCGGUGCGGUUUUGACGCCGUAUCGGUCGUAGUAAAACGAUAAGUGCGCCGCCUGGGGAGUACGGUCGCAAGAUUAAAACU
rnacentral:rRNA from 1 species